GAUGAACGCUGGCGGUGUGCCUAAUACAUGCAAGUCGAGCGAACAGACGAGGAGCUUACUCCCCUGACGUUAGCGGCGGACGGGUGAGUAACACGUGGAUAACCUACCUAUAAGACUGGGAUAACUUCGGGAAACCGGAGCUAAUACCGGAUAACAUGUUGAACCGCAUGGUUCAACAGUGAAAGACGGUCUUGCUGUCACUUAUAGAUGGAUCCGCGUCGCAUUAGCUAGUUGGUAAGGUAACGGCUUACCAAGGCAACGAUGCGUAGCCGACCUGAGAGGGUGAUCGGCCACACUGGAACUGAGGCACGGUCCAGACUCCUACGGGAGGCAGCAGUAGGGAAUCUUCCGCAAUGGGCGAAAGCCUGACGGAGCAACGCCGCGUGAGUGAAGAAGGUCUUCGGAUCGUAAAACUCUGUUAUUAGGGAAGAACAAAUGUGUAAGUAACUAUGCACGUCUUGACGGUACCUAAUCAGAAAGCCACGGCUAACUACGUG
rnacentral:rRNA from 1 species